GUUAGUUUUCUGGCGACCGAGAAAACUCAUGGAAACUUGGAACCUUGGCCCGCUUACGGCGUCGUCACCCCCCGAGAGCUUGUACCCAGAUGAAAAUAGUCCACGGGCCCAUGAUGCUGUUGCCGUUUUCCAAAUUUGGUUUUGGAGAUCCCAAAUUUGUGAGGAGGGGUGGCACUGCAAAAAGGUGUCCCACCAACUCGCCCUUUUGGGUUGGUUUGUCGACCAUAAUCCUUUUUCCAUCCCCACUCUGCGUAGCGUCAAUUCGUAUGGGCCGUCGUAUCCAAACCCAGGCUUACAAUUCUGCGAAACUUAGAAACUCCAAGUUGGCAGGCGGUCCCCGCAUUUCUGUUGAGCAGUUUGCAUGAUGUUAUUUAUCAGAGCCCCUAGCGGUCGGAUGGCAGCAGCUCGUUUCGGGACGGAACAACACUCCCCAGAGGAGCUGCUCCUUGCUGGUGCUGCUGCUCUGACACUGACUCCUCCUCCUCCUGAGAUGGAAAGCAUGCGCGCAGUGCGAGGUUGAAGCCCAUUCCCCUGGAAUUCGUGGAACUGGAAGCUUGUUUUGAGGUACUUACAAUGAAGAAGAGCAGAGCCAGCUGCUCAGAUGCUUCUAGAAGGGCUCUAAACUCCUCAUAGGGUUACAGAACCAACCCACUACAUCAUUUCUUGUCUAGGAUUGGAUAUCAAGCUGAAUACAACUUGGUGGUGCCAUGACUCUCAUUCUGAUUUCAACCUUUAUUCAUGGAGUAAUUUCAUACAUACAUGUCUGUAUAUAUAUAUAUAUAUAUAUAUAUAAACCAACCUAUGUUCGGCUGGGGUGUCAAAAAAUCUCAUUAGCCGGGGCAAUAGGGUGGUAAAACCCAAUUACUCAGUUAUUGGGAUCAAAGGAUGGGACAGGCUGACGGCAACAAUAGCAGCAAUGGUGCAAAUGAACCUGACCCACACCUGGCUAACAUGAUGCCAUUUUUUAUUUUAUUUUUAAUUGCAAUAAGGAGCACUAAUUGGUAUAUAUAUAGUGUGUGUUUUUCUGUUUGAUUGGCUGCAAAAAAUGUACUCAACAUUGGCAUAACCAAUGGUUUAACCACUAGUAUGUAUGUAAGUAUAUAUAUAUAUAUAUAUAUAUAUAUAGUUAAAUGUUUUUGUGUGGGUGAGAAAGAAUAAAAGAAGUAGAACAAAGAUGAUAGUUCAAAGGUCAGUUUUUGAAACAUGUAUAUAAGUAACAUUUGAAUCAAUCAAUUAAUCAGUACACAAUGUGUGUAUGUGUUUAUGUGUGGACACACACACACAUACAUGCACACACCCUCUCUCUCCUGUUUAUGUGAUUCCAUCUGAUCUGUGACAAGGUACUCCCCAGGCGAUUCAAAGAGUGUGGCCAACAAGUGCAUGGAAAGCAUGAAGUUUCAGUGGGGAGCUAAUGGAAGCAAUGGUUCUAAGCUGUGUAUCUGUGUCAGAUGAGCAUCUUAGACAACCAGGCAUCUCUGAAAAUAUGGGAAGUCCUGGUGGGAUAGGAGACAAUGCCAGCACCUGUCCUGUGCAGAAUGACAUGGGUCUGAGCAGCAGCUUUUGUUUUGUGUUGUGUUUUGCUCCCUUACUGUACAUGUAUGUGUGUGUGAAUGCAUGAAUGAAUGGAGAAAAAUCUCACCAUGUCAUGAAAUAUGAGUGAAGUAAUAUAACAUACUUGGGAGUGGUAGGAUACUAUCUGUGGAAGCAUCAAAGAAUGUUUCAAUCUUAAAAGUUGAAAAAGCUAAUAAAUCUCUAAACCUCCAAUUAUAUGUAUAUAUAUAUAUAUAUAUAUAUGUAGGAAUGCAAGAAAACAGAAAAGUAAGAUCAAAGCGGAAGUGUCCAUUUAAUGCAAUUAUUAUUUGUCUCGUUGCCCAAGUUCUUUUAUUAUGUAGUAUGAUUUUCAACAUGAGAAUGAAAGAAAAUAGAGAAAGAGAGAAGAUGGAAAUUUAAUCUUACUUAAACAGUAAAUCAACCUUUGGUGACUCGCAGCUAGGUGAAAAAACUCCAACAUGUUUACACAACCCAUUUGUGGCUUUUUCGUUUGUAGAUCCUUACCCUCAAUGAGAAGAGAAUUCAGCUCCGUCUUUUUCACCCAUAGUGAUCUGAUUUUGCAGCGCAAGGAUGAGCAGCUGCUGAUGAUCUAGUGGCGUGGCUUCCGAGGCGAGUGUGAGCUCAUAACACUCCAAAACCUCAGUUCCCCAUGUAGUAACAGUAAGUGGUAGUUGUAGUUUGUUUGUUUGUUUGUUUGCUCACUGACGAGCUUGAGGUACUACCCUGAUCAUCGACUUUUGAUGGGAUCACACACAGGAAGCCAGCCACUGAAAAGAAAAAAGAAAAAAAUGGAGUCCAAUCCAAGAGCUCCAACAGUUGGUGGCCAAGCCAUGGAUCAAAUCCAACUCUGCCAAGAAAAUCGGCUCAAAAUUGCAAGCAGAGGACACACACACAGUAGCAAAGCAGAAGAGCCUGUCGGUCUUGUCUGAGACACAAGUUCUUGACUGUAGCUCUCGUAGCGUCAUCUCCCCAGUUUUGCAUUAGAGCUCCUGGCAUAACUUCUUGCUCACAUUUGUGGUUUUAGUAUUUUGAUAUUGUCAGGAUUGAGGGAGCUGUCUUGUACCAACGGGAAUUGCAGUUGCCUUUCAUGCAUCCCCAUGCUUGCAAGCUCCAAAAGACACCGCCAUGAAACUCGAAAUCGUGUGUGGUAUUGGUGUGUAGGGAGGCCCUUAGUCUUAGUUCGUACUUUGGUAGCAAGUGCUGUGUCCCGAUUAGUGGUGUGGUUUACAGGAAAUGAGGAAUGUUACUAACAUUACUGUUUUGGGAAACUUAGCUCUAUGCUUGUCUCCGGACUAGGAUGUGCAAAAGAAAUUUCAAUUUUGAACCAAAAUAUAUUUAUAUUUGACG